GAUGAACGCUAGCGGCAGGCCUAAUACAUGCAAGUCGAACGGUGUCUUCGGACAUAGUGGCGCACGGGUGCGUAACACGUAUGCAACCUACCUUACAUUGGGGGAUAGCCUUUCGAAAGGGAGAUUAAUACCGCAUAAGACAGUAGCUGGGCAUCCAGCAGCUGUUAAAGAUUUAUCGAUGUAAGAUGGGCAUGCGACCAAUUAGUUAGUUGGCGAGGUGACGGCUCACCAAGACUAUGAUUGGUAGGGGAACUGAGAGGUCAAUCCCCCACACUGGCACUGAGAUACGGGCCAGACUCCUACGGGAGGCAGCAGUAGGGAAUAUUGGGCAAUGGACGCAAGUCUGACCCAGCCAUGCCGCGUGCAGGAUGAAGGCGUUAUGCGUCGUAAACUGCUUUUAUACAGGAAGAAACGACUCUUGCGAGAGGCAUUGACGGUACUGUAUGAAUAAGCACCGGCUAACUCCGUGCCAGCAGCCGCGGUAAUACGGAGGGUGCAAGCGUUGUCCGGAUUUAUUGGGUUUAAAGGGUGCGCAGGUGGUUUAUUAAGUCAGUGGUGAAAGACGGUCGCUCAACGAUUGCAGUGCCAUUGAAACUAGUAGACUUGAGUAAAGUAGAGGUGGGCGGAAUUGAUAGUGUAGCGGUGAAAUGCAUAGAUAUUAUCAAGAACUCCAAUUGCGUAGGCAGCUCACUUGGCUUUUACUGACACUCAUGCACGAAAGUGUGGGUAUCAAACAGGAUUAGAUACCCUGGUAGUCCACACUGUAAACGAUGAUAACUAGGUGUCGGCCGAAUCUGGUCGGUGCCACAGCGAAAGCGUUAAGUUAUCCACCUGGGGAGUACGCCGGCAACGGUG
rnacentral:rRNA from 1 species